GUUAUAAAAAAAUUACUUUCAUAUUUAUUGGCUUUGAGGUAUUUUAUGUUCAAUUCACAUAAUUCAAAAUAUUUGCCCAAUCAUUCAAAAAGAGAAAAACAAAAGAAAAUGUUUAUCCAAUCCCUCAAAUUAUGGGUCAGAUUUUCCUUAUUUGGGCAGACCAUUGGUUUUAUUAGCAAGUUCAAUGCAAAGUUUGUAAUGGUACCUAGAGUUUAUAAUAGUAGUAAAAUUCGGCAUAUACUAAAUAAUUAAUAUUAGAUGGAAUUAAAUAGAACGAAUUAGAAUACAGUAGUUUAAUUUAAUUUUCAAUUUGGAAUUAAAGGUCCAGAAAAAUUUUAUAUGAUUCCUUUCAGAUUAGAUGGAAUGACAUUUUAAGAUAUAUGUAUUCUUUGAUUAUUGUUUUGUUUUAUUAAUUCUGUAAAUUACACAUUAAAUGAAUAAUUAAUGUUUAUGAAAUUUAUUAUUUACUUUUUAUUUUGAUUAGAUUUAUUAAUUAUUUUUUAAUUAAAAAUAUCAUGUAAGCAAAAAAUGUAAAAUUUAUGUAAGUAAAAUUCAUGAAGAUGCCAAUAAUUAAAAGAAAAAGGGAAAAAGGAUCUUGAAAACUCUAGUACGAUAAGGAACCACAAAUAACAUCUGUUACUUCAAAAACCAUCACACCCAUUUAGUUUCGUACACACCUAUCCUGGAGGAUGUGAAUAUGAAACAGAAUAGUAAAAGUAACCGUUGUAUUGGUGAACUUUCCUAUAUGAAUACGAACAGCCACAGUAGAUUAAAACUCUAAGCCCUUACGAAUGAUGUCUAUGUUGGUGAUACUUAGAGGUUUUAUUAAAGAUUUAAGAUAAUAUACUCCAAAUAAUCAAAUAUUGAAUUUCAAAAAUUAGGAAACAAUAGCUUAAAGUAGACAUGGGAAACUUGGGAGACUGCAGAUGUACCGCAGUGAUAAGGUUUCUAGGUAAUCAAAAAUUGAUCCAUGUAAUGAGAAUAGGAAAUGAUGUUUUCAAAACAUGUAGUACAGUAAUAACAAUUGCGUAUACUAUGAUUGGAAAACAUUAGACGUUAAUGAAUUUUGAAGAUCAUUAUAGCCCAAGACAGUAUUUGACGCAGAAAGGUAUGGGAAGGAUCGAAUCUACUCCUGAAACUCACUCAAUGUAUGUAAUACCAAAAUAAUAACCACCUAGAAUUAAACUCUUCCCUCUAAUUGAAUUUACAAUCCUAAAGGGAAGUAAAAAUAAAGAUUAGGGAAAUAAAUAAGGAAAGAAAAAAUGUCACAGACUUAAUAAGUUGAUCCCUACUCUUUGGCUCAACAAGACUUCUAAAGACUCUUACUUCUUGAAGAACUUAAAGAAGCUAAUUUUUAGCAAAAAUACUAAAAGAAGAAAAGCCAGAACUCUCAAGAAUUCUCUCAAAUUUAUUCUCAAAUGUGUGUUUUACAUCAUAGGAGCAAAGGUCUAUUUAUAGCCUUUCCCGAACAAUCUAGAUGAGUACAAAAAUCUUCAGAUAAUUAAUAAAAU
rnacentral:lncRNA from 1 species